CUUACUCGGUUAGGUGGGUUCGGCCUUCGGGCCGCCUUUUGGACUCAACCGUGGAGGUUAACCCUUCGCGGGACCCACUCCGAGGACAUUGCGAGGCGGGGAGUUUGACUGGGGCGGUACAUCUGUCAAAUGAUAACGCAGGUGUCCUAAGGCCAGCUCAGUGAGGACGGAAACCUCACGUAGAGCAAAAGGGCAAAUGCUGGCUUGACCUCUCCCUUCAGUACGGGGCGAGGAGCAGAAAUGUCGGCCUAUCGAUCCUCUUUAUUUCGGAGUUUGAAGAAAGAGGUGUCAGAAAAAUUACCACAGGGAUAACUGGCUUGUGGC
rnacentral:rRNA from 14 species